UGGCUCAGCAGGUAAGAAGAGCACUGACUGCUCUUCUGAAGGUCCUGAAUUCAAAUCCCAGCAACCACAUGGUGGCUCACAACCAUCUGUAAUGAGAUCAGACGUCCUCUUCUGAUGUGUCUGAAGACAGCUACAGUGUACUUAUGUAUAAUAAUAAGUAAAUCUUUGGGCCAGAAGGAACAGGAACUGAGCGAGCGGGGCCGACCAGAGCAAGUAGGGUUGACAGGAGCGAGCAGGGGUCUUAAAUUCAAUUCCUAACAACCACAUGAAGGCUCACAACCAUCUGUAUAGCUACAGUGUACUCACAUACAUAAAAUAAAUAAAUAAAUCUUUAAAAAUAAUAAUAAUAAAGUGGAAAGAGGCUGAAGAAGACACCGAUGUCAAACUCUGACCUCCACAUGGACAUGCACACACAGACUUGUACACACACACACACACACACACACACACACACACACACCACAUCCUCACCCAAAUAAAUAAAAACAAAAGGAGAAAAUAAUUACCUGGGAGUAUGGACCUGUCCUGUUAACUUAGGAGCUCCUUCACGUUCCUCACCACCAUUUCUAGAUACUUAUUAUGAGCCAGGCCCCAAGCCCGGAGUCCUAAAUAGUCUUUCCACAGUCCUGGAAAAUAGGGAGGUUAAAUGUGCUAACUCAGGGGCGAUCCAAGCAGAGCGAAGGCUUCAAAAUUGUUAGCUCUGGCUAGGCAGGGGUAUGGCAUGCCUUUAGUCCCAGCACUUGGGAGGAAGAGGUAGGUAGAUUUCUGAGUUUGAGACCAGUUUGGAUCCAGGACAGCCAGGGGUACCUAGAGAAACCUGUCUCAAAAAAGGAGGAAGAAGAAGAAGGAGGGGGAAAAAAGAAGAGGAGAAGGAGGAAGAGGAAGAAGAAGAAGAGGAAGAGGAAGAGGAAGGAAGGAAGGAAGGAAGGAAGAAGAAGAAG
rnacentral:lncRNA from 1 species